GUAUAAGAGACAGCAGCAGCCGCGGUAAUACAGAGACUGCGAGCGUUAUUCGGAUUCACUGGGCGUAAAGGGUGCGCAGGCGGCCAAGUGUGUGAGGCGUGAAAGCCCGGGGCUUAACCCCGGAAUUGCACCUCAAACUACAUGGCUAGAGCAUUGGAGAGGGUAGCAGAAUUCAUGGUGUAGCAGUGAAAUGCGUAGAUAUCAUGAGGAAUACCAGAGGCGAAGGCGGCUACCUGGACAAUUGCUGACGCUCAGGCACGAAAGCGUGGGGAGCAAAAG
rnacentral:rRNA from 1 species